rnacentral:rRNA from 1 species
GACGAACGCUGGCGGCGUGCUUAACACAUGCAAGUCGAACGAUGAAACCUAGCUUGCUAGGUCGAUUAGUGGCGAACGGGUGAGUAACACGUGACUAACCUGCCCCUUUCUCUGGGAUAACGCUCCGAAAGGAGUACUAAUACCGGAUACUCACACCGAGGCACAUGCCUUGGUGUGGAAAGUUUUUCGGAAAGGGAUGGAGUCGCGGCCUAUCAGCUUGUUGGUGAGGUAACGGCUCACCAAGGCGACGACGGGUAGCCGUCCUGAGAGGGCGCCCGGCCACGCUGGGACUAGGACGCGGGCCAGACGCCUACGGGAGGCAGCAGUGGGGAAUAUUGCGCAAUGGGCGCAGGCCGGAUGCAGCGACGCCGCGUGAGGGAUGAAGGUCUUCGGAUUGUAAACCUCUUUCAGUAGGGACGAAGCGAAAGUGACGGUACCUAAAGAAGAAGCACCGGCUAACUACGUGCCAGCAGCCGCCGUAA